CGGGGGGGCAAGGCGUUGUUCGGAAUUACUGGGCGUAAAGGGCGCGUAGGCGGCCUGCUAAGUCGGACGUGAAAUCCCUCGGCUCAACCGGGGAACUGCGUCCGAUACUGGUGGGCUCGAAUCCGGGAGAGGGAUGUGGAAUUCCAGGUGUAGCGGUGAAAUGCGUAGAUAUCUGGAGGAACACCGGUGGCGAAGGCGGCAUCCUGGACCGGUAUUGACGCUGAUGCGCGAAAGCCAGGGGAGCAAACGGGAUUAGAUACCCCGGUAGUCCUGGCCCUAAACGAUGAGUGCUUGGUGUGGCGGGUAUCGAUCCCUGCCGUGCCGAAGCUAACGCAUUAAGCACUCCGCCUGGGGAGUACGGUCGCAAGGCUG
rnacentral:rRNA from 1 species